GUAGGUGAACCUGCGGAAGGAUCAUUAUUGAAAUAAACCUGAUAAGUUGCUGCUGGUUCUCUAGGGUGCAUGUGCACACUUGUCAUCUUUGUAUCUUCACCUGUGCAUCUUUUGUAGACCUGAGAACCUCUCUGAAUGCUUUUAGCACUCAGGAUUGAGGAUUGACUUGAUGUCUUUUCUUACAUUUUCAGGCCUAUGUUUUUCAUAUACCCUAAUGUAUGUUUAUAGAAUGUAAUGAAUGGGCCUUUGUGCCUAUAAACAUUUACAACUUUCAGCAACGGAUCUCUUGGCUCUC
rnacentral:misc_RNA from 1 species